rnacentral:rRNA from 1 species
AUGGCCUGCUACCCGUGCAACCCAUACCCUCACCUCCCCGCAGGCACCACGAUCAUUGCUCCGGGCCCUGAACGAGCACAGCGAGGCUACAUCGUCCUCGGUGGUGAGCUCCCUAUGGUCUGUGACGAGUGGGCUAUUGCUACUCUGGUUCCUGCUAUUCCUCCUGAAGAUUUCCCUGCCGCCAAUGCAAUGAUCAUUGAGUACCUCGAAGCCAAGGGAUGGAGGAUUAACUACUCCUCCAGAUGUGGUAUGGGUACUGCUCUGAUCCAAUUUACAACUGCUUGUUCAAGAGAUCCUGCCAUAAAUAAUAGUCCCUAUGAGAUCAGGGACUCUGUUCUUCGCAUUACCAGACAUGAUAGGAGUUUGAAAUACCGUAGCAUCACUUUUACCCAUGAUGUUUGGCUCAUGUUGAUGAACUAUCCAUUGGAAUGCUGGGAGGUAGGAGUUGUUAGCCGCACCAUAUCUCAAUACGGUAGAUUUCUGAUCUGGAACAAGGACCCGAGAGACAAAACUAGGAUUAUUGUUAAGGUCAGAGUUAUGAAUGUGGAUACUUUACCUGUCAGUAUUGUUGUUCUGCGCAAUUUGGACAAUGUUGGGUAUGGUGAUUCCUGGACUUGUCCCACAUAUAUUCUUUCUCGUGAGCUCAUUGGCCAGCUUGGCGGUGAUGAGGAUCCUCUUCCCCCAGAUGGAGGAAACCCACAUCCUCUCCCGCAUGUUCAGGAGGGUUUUGGCAUGAUGAAGUUCUUGGUAAAAUCCCCUUGGAGCAGGUUGUUAUCAACCCACACAAUAAGCAUCUUGGAGCUCCUUAUGAGGAUGUUCAUGCACCUGUUGCUGCUGACAAUGCCAACAAUAAUAUGA